rnacentral:tRNA from 1 species
GCCCUGCUAGCUCAAUCGGUAGAGCGUGAGACUUUUACUUCAUCUCAAGGCUGCGGGUUCGAGCCCCGCGUGGGGCU